rnacentral:lncRNA from 1 species
GCAAGCCAAAGGCCUGGGGCAGCCUUGACCCUGUGGAGCAGCAGCCCUGGGUGGGGGGGUCUCUGACAGCACCACCCUGGAGAGAGCUCAGGCGCUGGACAUCCUGGGUCCAGCCCAGCCCGUCACCCUCUGGCUGUGUGGGCCAGACCCAUGGCUCCACUUCCCUGAGCCUCAGUUUCCUCCUCUGAAACGGAGAAAAUAAAGCCGACCUCAUGCCCCGUGGGGUCUAAAUGAGACCCUGCAGACACCCACCCAGUUGUUUCUGCCGCUGUCCCAGCCUAGCAGGACGUUGCCCUCCUCCGUCUGCAGGAGAGCACCAGCAGGUCCCUGGGGCCCCACCGCGGCUUGCUCAGCCCCUCGACAGUCCAGCUUAGGGGUCAGCAGAUCGCCUGCACAGGCCGGAGGAGCCCCGCGAGCUCAGCUCAGCCCCCGGGCCCUGCCUCAGGCACCCCCACAUGGAUGCUCCACGAGCCAGCAGCAAGCAAGUCGCCCCCAGGGCUGGGUCUGGGGCACAGUGGGAGGGGCUGGGAGCCAGCCGCUCCGGACAGAGCGUGUCCCCACACCAUCCCUGCACUGACUUUUCUCUUUUAACCGUUUAAUUUUGAGAUAAUUUCAGACUUACAGAAGAAUGGCAAAAAUAGAGUUCCCGUAAAUCCUUCACCAGCCUCCCCUGGUGUUACCUUCUUGCACAACCACAGUACAAUGAACCAAACUAGAAAACGGACACUGGUGGGAGGCUGUUGAUCGAAGUACAGACUUUUCUCAGAUUUCACCAGUCUUCCCUCUGACGUCCCUUUUCUGUUCCAGGAUCCCAUGAGGAUCCCACAUGACAUUGCUUCGUGGAAUCUCUUUAAUCUCCUCCCGUCUGUGACGGUUUCUCAGCCUGCCUGCUCUGCCAUAACCGUGACACAUUUGAGGAGCACUGAAUGGUUCUUUUGUCCAGGUCCUCAGUCUGGGUCUGUCUGGUGUCUCCUCGUGAUGAGGGGGAGCACAGAGGGGAUGUGCCUCUCAGCGCACCUGUCGGCGGCCCCCGAUUUCCACGUGUCUAUUACCAGCGAUGUAACCUUGCUCACUUGACUAAGGCGAUAUGAGCCAGGAUUCUCCACCAUCAAGUUGCUCCCUUUCCCUUUGUGACUCGUAACUAUUUUGAUGGAGGUACUUUGAGAUUGUGCUGAUGUCCAGUUUCUCCUUAAACUUUCACCACUGAUGUUUGUAUCUGUCGGUGCAGCCUGCCUGCUGUAAUUAUCACUGUGAUUGUAUUGCCGGGGUGAUGUUCCCCUGCUCUCUUCCCGUCUCCAUUUAUUAACUGGAAAUGUUCUGUGAGGACGAGUUGUCUCUUCUCCCCAAUUUAUUUGUUUAUCGGUGGUUUAUUUCUAUUACUAUGGACUCAUGGAUAUUUAUCCUAUACUUUGGCUUAUUAUCCAAUACCAUCGCUGUUUGCUUUGUUCAAGUUCUUCUGCCUUGGCCAUUGAGAGCGCUUUCCUUUGGCUCCCUCAUCUCUGACACGCCCCAUCCUUUUGUUCUUUAAGCACUAACUUGCUUUCUACAGUAUGUUCCAAACUCAUCGUGUAUUUUUCCUCCUGCAGCCACGGAAAUAUGAACCUAAAGCAGGGGCAACCCUAGGGAAGAAAAUAGAUGAAUUGGACUUCAUCACAAUUGAACACUUUUUUGCAUCAAAGGAGACCCACCAAAUACUGGCCCUGAGCUAACAUCCGUGCCCAUCUUCCUCUACUUUAUAUGUGGGACGCCUACCACAGCAUGGAGUGCCAAGUGGUGCCAUGUCCGCACCCGGGAUCCGAACCGGUGAACCCCGGGCCGCCAAGAAGUGGAACAUUCGAACUUAACCGCCACGCCACUGGGCCGACCCUAAAUUAAUAUGUUUUUUAAAAUUCUCAAUAGUGGUAAAAAUCAUGUAACAUAAAAUUUGACGCUGUAACCGUUUUUAAGUGUACAGUUCAGCAGUGUUAACUAUAUUCGUGUCGUUUUGCAGCAAAUCUCCAGGACUUUUUCAUCUUGCAAAACUGAAACUCUGUCCCCACUGAGCAAGAGCUCCCCAUUUCCCCUCCCCCAGCCCCUGGCGCCGCCAUCUACUCUCCAUCUCUAUGAAUUUGACUUCUCUAGGGACCUCAUGAAGUGGAGUCAUACAGUGUUUGUCCUUUUUAACUGGGGUAUUUCACUCAGAAUAGUGUCCUUAAGUUUCAUCCAUGUUGUAGCAUGUGUCACAGUGUCCUUUUUGAAGGCUGAAUAAUAUUCCGUUGCAUGUAUGUGACACAUUUUCUCGUUUUUCAUUUGCCACUACCUAUCAUUUUCUUUUCUUUCCCCAGCUUUAUCAAGGUCUAAUUUACAACAUAAAAAUGAUGUAUAUUUAAGGUUUUGAUAUACGUAUGCAUUGUGAAAUGACCACAAUCAAGCUAAGUAACACAUCAUAGUUAGCAUUUUUUGGUGUGGUGAGAAUACUUAAGAUCUACUCUCUUAGCAAGUUUCAAGCACACAGUACAGUAUUAUUAGCUACAGUCACCAUGCUGUAUGUUACAUCCCUC